UGCUCUGUGAUUACGUGCCUGGAAUUGGCAAUAUACGCUAUUCCGAUUCAGAACAUGAAUGGAUAACUCUUAAGAGAAAUUAUGAGAGCA